GGCUUCGUAGCUCAUUUGGUAGAGCGCUUGCCACGUUGAGGCAUUGUGUUUUUGUGGCUGGUUUGAAUCCAGCCGAAACCC